UCCUGACGGUAGUCGUAUGACUCGUCUCCGAGACUAAGCCAUGCAAGUCCAAGUACACGUCCUUGAACGACGGAAACUGCGAACGGCUCAUUAAAUCAGUUGCGAUCUACUCGGCGUUCCGCGCCGCCGGAUAACCGUAGUAAUUCUAGGGCUAAUACGUGCGAAGCGCCCGAAGCCGCGAGGCGACGGGCGUUCUCGCCGGAUGUAGGAACCGACCCGGGGACCGCCGGGGGCAACCCGGCGCCCCCGAGACGGGGCGAACCACGGUGAAAUGACGGAUCGUCGGCCCCGCGCCGGCGACUCGCCGAAUGAGUUUCUGACCUAUCAACUCGAGACGGCGGGGUAGAGGCCCGCCGCGGUAACGACGGGGUAACGGGGAAUCAGGGUUCGAUUCCGGAGAGGGGAGCCCGAGAAACGGCUACCACUUCCAAGGAAGGCAGCAGGCGCGCAACUUACCCUAAUCUCGAUUCGAGGAGGU
rnacentral:rRNA from 1 species